rnacentral:lncRNA from 1 species
CCGAAAAUACAAAGAAUAAAAGAAGUUAAAUUAGGUUUUAAGCUUUCGGCACUUGCAAGCUUGAUUGAGGUAUGUUUUGAGCUCGGUUUUUUAUGAUUUUUAUGUUUUUGUGAUCGUUGUUUUGAGUACUAGCUAGCCCAUGCCCUAAUUUUUGAAAGUGUUGAUGAUUUUGAAAGUUUCCAUUGAUGAAUUAAUGUGUUCUUGGAUGUUUGAUGAUGAAUUAUGAAAACUUGUUGAUAGAUUAAUAUGUUUUGUAAAGUGAUUUUGAGUGAAAAUGUCUAAAUAGGAUUAAAUUGUGAAAAGUGUAAAUUGAGGGGUUAAAUUGUGAAAUAAAUAUGAAAUAUGGGCUGCUAAGGAUCUAUAUAGAAUUCGGCUAAGCAUAAGUCUUAUUGAAUUUUGUGUAAUUUAUGUUUUUGUGAAAUAGGGAUUAAAUUGAAUAAAUGUGAAACUUUAGGGGUUAAAGUGUAAAAAUGCUCAAAUAAGUGUUUGUGGAUUAAAUUGAAAGAUUAUGUGAUUUAAUGAGUUGAAUUUGUUAUAAUAUAGAUCAAGAAAAGAGGAACCCGGACUUAGAUCGAGGCAAGAACAAAGUACUCGACUAAUCGACUAGUUUCGUCGUUUUUACGUCCGAGUAAGUUCGUAUGCAAUAAACGUUUUUACAAUUAUAUUUUUAAUACUUGAUAUUGCAUAAAUUGUAUAUACGAGACUACGGUAAUGUUCGACGAAAAAUCGAUUACGUAUGACACUUAGUGUGCCAUUUAUGAAAGCUUCGGCUAUAUAUAUAUGUGGCACUUAGUGUGUGAGAUCGAGGUAGCUUCAGUUGUGUAAUGCACUUAGUGUGCGAGAUUAUAAUAGCUUCGGCUAUGUAAUGCACUUAGUAUGCAAGAUUAUAAUAGCUUUGGCUAUGCUUUGGCACUUAGUAUGUGAGAUAUCUAGUAAUCGACAGUAUCACGAGAAAAUAUGAGUUCGAUAUGAUUUUGUACAAUUAUGUACAUAUAAAGCAUGAAAUUCAAAUAGAAGAAGUCAUGAAGUUACAUAUAGCAUAAGAACAAGAAUGUGAAAGGUUUGCUAAUAAUCAUGAGUUACAUGCUAUUAUGCUUAGAUUGAUGAAUGAUAUAUUUGUGAUUAGAUAAGUAUAUAUCAUACGAACUUACUAAGCUUUUAAAGCUUACUUUGUGUGUUCUUUCCAUGUUUUAUAGAUUUUCAAAGCUAGCUCGGACAUCAGGGAUCAUCGGGAACCAUCAUCACACUAUUGUCUACUUGUCGGUAUUUUUGGAUGCUUGUAAAUAUAGUAUAUGGCAUGAAUAGGCUAGUAAAUUGAUGUUAUGUCUUGAGAUUUGAAAUAGCCAUGAGAUUUGGCUUGCUUUUGUUGAAAUGUUAGUAUGUACUUGGUCAUUCAAGUUGGCUUAAAUUAUGUGUUUAAUAAGUAAUAUAUGUGAUGUUUAUAAGUUACCUUAUGUUUUGG